UUUUCCUUCCUCCCUACUCAGUACCAAAAUAAAACAAUUAUGUGCCUGCCUCUCUGCCAUUGCAUGCAACUGACGGCAUAUGCUCUCUCAUCGGCAUUGCUUGUUUGUAGUUGUUGUUGGGCAAAGUAGGUAGUAAACAUGCUGAGUACCUACCAAAACAACAAAUUGAGUGAAAUACUGGUAUACUCAGCCAAAUGCCGGCUGGCGGCAUCAACCACUCGUUCUACUCUUGAGUUUCGCACAACAAAAAUUCGUAUCACCGCCACCGAAACCCAAGGCAAAUCAGUCAUCGUUGAGAGUUCAAGCAGUCAAGUUGUAAAAUCGGAAAGGAAAAAUCCGUAAACGUUCUGCAAAGAAAAAAAUCUAAAAUACCAAGAAAUAGAAACAAAGAUAACGAACGAACGCAAAUCAAAUAUGACGCGCUACAAGCCAACAACGCCCUAACACAGACACACACAUACAUCCAUACUUCCAAUAUGGGGACCGAGGGAGCUCUUACGCUUCAAGUCGACUCAUUAUACUCUGUGCAGUAUGUCGCCAAAAGGUGGCGGCCCUCCGCGCGGUGGUCCCCGGGCAACGUCAAUUUAAAGGGAAUUGACGGCGAAAAUGAGCGGCGCAAAGGUGGGGAUUAGCUGCGUAAUCCCAAAAAGGUGCUAGACAAUCAAGUGGAUUUCUAGCCCAAACAAAGCUGUUAGUGUGAGGCUGAUCAUCAGAGAGAUAUCACCUCAAAUCAAGUGUUGAAGAAUGCCCAGUCAUUCUGAAGCGAAUCGUUUGUUCGAUGGAUAUGCUUAAGACGAGUUAUCCAGAAGCUUAUUGAGCACAGGGGGCCAGUGUGCCCCAAAAUUCGAAGAGAAAAAGUCGUGUGUCGACUUUUUUGCCAAUCAGAAAUUAUCAUAAAGGUUAGAUAAUUGUGUAAAGAUGCAAGACAUCACCAGUGAGGGUGAUUCAAGCGAAGAAUCUUCAACGCAUUGAAAUGGAUGCCGUAAAAUCUGCACAUCAUCAUAAUUGCUGCAAAACACACAAACAACAUCAUCAUCAAAUCAGUUUGUCACAGUCGUUCGGUUGGAGUACCUAUGGAUUAGUAAGAACACUUGCCGCCCUACAAGUAAAGUCGAGGCUAGUCCACUGCGAAAAAUCUGAAGGACAACACAAGCUGAGCUGCUGCAUUAUUUUCACAUCACGCUUGAUCAGGGGAAGUAUGAUGAGAGCUGCGCGAAGACCGUUCAAGCGGACAUUUCGUUUGAUCAGGGGAAGUGUGGUUUUAGUUGUGCGAAGACCGUUCAGGCGGAAACUCCGGUUAUGUUAAUCGAUCUAUGAAGACCUGCGAUUUCGGGUAACGGUUCCUUGCCGGCCCAAUGGAUUCACCAAGAAAGGUUGCCCCCUCCCCCAUCCUUUGGUGUAAACUGUUGAGGCAGCGUGUGGGUUGAGCCCGCAUCUGAAACGCUAAAGUAUUUGCGGCCCAAGCGAGAGCAAAUAAACGAUAUUUCUGUUAGGGAGACGAAUCGUAAAGGAAAGAGCCUUUGAAAAGAUUUUUCUUCAAGAGUAUCGGCAGUUUGCUGAUAGUUUGGAAUCUGUGAGUAUGCCAAAUGGAUCUGGCUAAAAUAACUCGAGUGGAUGGUGUAAAUUUUGUAAGGCAGCGUGUGGAUUGAGCCCUUAUCUAAUUUGCGGCCCAAGCGAGAGCAAAUAAAUGAUAUUUCUGUUAGGGAGACGAAUCGUAAAGGAAAGAGCCUUUGAAAAGAUUUUUCUUCAAGAGUAUCGGCAGUUUGCUGAUAGUUUGGAACCCGUGAAUGUGCUAAAGUGGCUGAACCCAAGUGUAAAAUGUACGCAACAACAACACCCUCCAAUGUGGAAGUUUUCAUGGUACCGAGAAGACUCUCUGCAAAGGAAAUGCGUCGGCAUUUAUCGGCAGCAGAUCACACGGCCGUCUACGUCUAGUGGAGAAGAGAAAUGGUAUCGAAUCUGGUCGGUGUUUACCGUCCAGAGAAGAAGAAGAACAAUGGAGAUUAAGAAAAAUGUGUUUUUUCUUUGAAUUCAAAAUAUCAAAAAGAACUGAAGUGUUCUACAUCAGCGUGAGGAGUUUGAUCGGGGAAGUCUCUCCGAUUUUGCAUAAAAAGCGAAGGUGUUAAAUCAACCGAAGAAGUGUUCAUCUGGGGAAUUCUCUCCAGCUGAAGAAAAUCUGUCAAGAUGUCUUUGUCGAAGAUAUCAGUGAAGUUUGCAAUCGUCGUCGCCUCGGCGAUUGUGAGAAUCGAGAUUGGGAUUGUCGUUCCAAUUUUUUAUAACAAGCUUAAAAAAUCCAAAAAAAAAUUAAAAAACCAAUGUAAAAUCCAAAAAAAAAAAAUAUUAAAACAAUUAAAAAAUGUUAUACCCCCCACUCCCUGGGUGGGGGGUAUAACGCCAAAAAAAUGAAA